GACGAACGCUGGCGGCGUGCUUAACACAUGCAAGUCGAACGGUAAGGCCCUUCGGGGUACACGAGUGGCGAACGGGUGAGUAACACGUGGGUGAUCUGCCCUGCACUUCGGGAUAAGCCUGGGAAACUGGGUCUAAUACCGGAUAGGACUCCGGACUGCAUGGUCUGGGGUGGAAAGCUUUUGCGGUGUGGGAUGGGCCCGGGGCCUAUCAGCUUGUUGGUGGGGUGAUGGCCUUCCAAGGCGACGCCGGGGAGCCGGCCUGGGAGGGUGACCGGCCACACUGGGACUGAGAUACGGCCCAGCCUCCUACGGGAGGCAGCAGAGGGGAAUAUUGCACAAUGCGCGCAAGCCUGAUGCAGCGACGCCGCGUGAGGGAUGACGGCCUUCGGGUUGUAAACCUCUUUCAGCAUCGACGAAGCGAAAGUGACGGUAGGUGCAGAAGAAGGACCGGCCAACUACGUGCCAGCCGCCGCCGUAA
rnacentral:rRNA from 1 species